UACGUAGGGUGCGAGCGUUAAUCGGAAUUACUGGGCGUAAAGCGUGCGCAGGCGGUUUUUUAAGACAGGCGUGAAAUCCCUGGGCUCAACCCAGGAACUGCACCUGAAACUACCAGUCUUGAGUGGUGGAGAGGGAAGUGGAAUUCCUGGUGUAGAGGUGAAAUUCGUAGAUAUCAGGAGGAACACCAGUGGCGAAGGCGGCUUCCUGGACACUAACUGACGCUGAGA
rnacentral:rRNA from 1 species